rnacentral:rRNA from 1 species
GACGAACGCUGGCGGCGUGCCUAAUACAUGCAAGUCGAACGCAGUGGGGACGGGUGAGUAACACGUGGGUAACCUCCCAUCAGAGGGGAUAACACUUGGCAACAGGCGCUACACCGAUAAUGAUGGAUGGACCCGCGGUGCAUUAGCUAGUUGGUGCGGUCACGUCUCACCAAGGCCACGUUGCAUAGCCGGCCUGAGAGGAUGAUCUGCCACACUGGGACUGAGACACGGCCCAGACUCCUACGGGAGGCAGCAGUAGGGAAUCUUCGGCAAUGGACGAAAGUCUGACCUAGCAACGCCGCGUGAGUGAAGAAGGUUUUCGGGUCGUAAAGCUCUGUUGUUAGAGAAGCGGUAUCUAACCAGAAAGCCACGGCUAACUACGUGCCAGCAGCCGCGGUAAUUC